UACGUAGGUGGCGAGCGUUGUCCGGAUUUACUGGGUGUAAAGGGCGCGUAGGCGGGGAUGCAAGUCAGGUGUGAAAUCUAUGGGCUUAACCCAUAAACUGCACUUGAAACUGCAUUUCUUGAGUGAUGGAGAGGCAGGCGGAAUUCCUAGUGUAGCGGUGAAAUGCGUAGAUAUUAGGAGGAACACCAGUGGCGAAGGCGGCCUGCUGGACAUUAACUGACGCUGAUGCGCGAAAGCGUGGGGAGCAAACAGG
rnacentral:rRNA from 1 species